rnacentral:rRNA from 1 species
CUGGUUGAUCCUGGCGGAGGCCACUGCUAUCGGAGUUCGAUUAAGCCAUGCGAGUCGAGAGGUGUAAGACCUCGGCAUACUGCUCAGUAACACGUGGACAACCUACCCUGAGGAGGGGGAUAACCCCGGGAAACUGGGGAUAAUACCCCAUAGACUAUGGAUGCUGGAAUGCUCUGUAGUUAAAAGGCCCGCCGCCUCAGGAUGGGUCUGCGGCCGAUUAGGUUGUUGUUGGGGUAACGGCCCAACAAGCCUGUAAUCGGUACGGGUUGUGGGAGCAAGAGCCCGGAGAUGGAUUCUGAGACGCGAAUCCAGGCCCUACGGGGCGCACAGGCGCGAAAACUUUACAAUGCGAGCAAUCGUGAUAAGGGAACUCCGAGUGCCCGUAAAAUCGGGCUGUCCGCCAGUGUAAAUAACUGGUGAAGAAAGGGCCGGGCAAGACCGGUGCCAGCCGCCGCGGUAAUACCGGCGGCUCGAGUGGUGGCCACUAUUACUGGGCUUAAAGCGUUCGUAGCUGGUCUGUUAAGUCUCUGGGGAAAUCUUCCGGCUUAACCGGAAGGCGUCUCAGGGAUACUGACAGACUAGGGACCGGAAGAGGUGAGAGGUACUCCAGGGGUAGGAGUGAAAUCCUGUAAUCCUUGGGGGACCACCUGUGGCGAAGGCGUCUCACCAGGACGGCUCCGACAGUGAGGAACGAAAGCUGGGGGAGCAAACCGGAUUAGAUACCCGGGUAGUCCCAGCUGUAAACGAUGCGCGUUAGGUGUAUCGGUGACCACGAGUCACCGAGGUGCCGAAGAGAAAUCGUGAAACGCGCCGCCUGGGAAGUACGGUCGCAAGGCUGAAACUUAAAGGAAUUGGCGGGGGAGCACCACAACGGGUGGAGCCUGCGGUUUAAUCGGACUCAACGCCGGGAAACUCACCGGAUAAGACAGCUGAAUGAUUGCCGGGCUGAAGACUCUGCAUGACUAGCUGAGAGGAGGUGCAUGGCCGUCGUCAGUUCGUACUGUGAAGCAUCCUGUUAAGUCAGGCAACGAGCGAGACCCAAAGG